ensembl:lncRNA
CCUUUGGUUUCACCUGCACAAGUGCUGAGGUUUGGGGAAACCUGCAGUCAGCUGAGACUGAAGAAGUCACUUGGAUGAGUGACGAAACGUUUCUCCCACAAAACGCUACGUCCAGAUGAACAGAUUCAACUUUUGGAGAUUUACUUUCCUGGAUGAUUGAGAAUGCAUCAAGACCCAUUUCUGUUUGGAGUUUGCAUGUUACCCCAUGUUCCCCUGUGUGCUGGUUGCUGUGCAGUUGCUGGACUGAUCCUGAGUUCCUGCCUUUUGGUCUCCACACACCUACAGGUGAUCACAAAUCUGUCCCUGUUAACCUUGUUGGAGUCACUACCUAAAGGAGUAGUU